rnacentral:rRNA from 1 species
AGUCGAGGGGAAACGACAUCGAAAGCUUGCUUUUGAUGGGCGUCGACCGGCGCACGGGUGAGUAACGCGUAUCCAACCUGCCCACCACUUGGGGAUAACCUUGCGAAAGUAAGACUAAUACCCAAUGAUAUCUCUAGAAGACAUCUGAAGGAGAUUAAAGAUUUAUCGGUGAUGGAUGGGGAUGCGUCUGAUUAGCUUGUUGGCGGGGUAACGGCCCACCAAGGCUACGAUCAGUAGGGGUUCUGAGAGGAAGGUCCCCCACAUUGGAACUGAGACACGGUCCAAACUCCUACGGGAGGCAGCAGUGAGGAAUAUUGGUCAAUGGACGAGAGUCUGAACCAGCCAAGUAGCGUGCAGGAUGACGGCCCUAUGGGUUGUAAACUGCUUUUAUAAGGGAAUAAAGUGAGUCUCGUGAGACUUUUUGCAUGUACCUUAUGAAUAAGGACCGGCUAAUUCCGUGCCAGCAGCCGCGGUAAUACGGAAGGUCCGGGCGUUAUCCGGAUUUAUUGGGUUUAAAGGGAGCGUAGGCCGGAGAUUAAGCGUGUUGUGAAAUGUAGAUGCUCAACAUCUGCACUGCAGCGCGAACUGGUUUCCUUGAGUACGCACAAAGUGGGCGGAAUUCGUGGUGUAGCGGUGAAAUGCUUAGAUAUCACGAAGAACUCCGAUUGCGAAGGCAGCUCACUGGAGCGCAACUGACGCUGAAGCUCGAAAGUGCGGGUAUCGAACAGGAUUAGAUACCCUGGUAGUCCGCACGGUAAACGAUGGAUGCCCGCUGUUUGCCAAUUUGGUAAGCGGCCAAGCGAAAGCGUUAAGCAUCCCACCUGGGG